ensembl:snRNA U6 U6 spliceosomal RNA
GUGCUCACUUUGGCAGCACAUAUACUAAAAUUGGAAUGAUACAGAGGAGAUUAACAUGGUUUCAGCACAAGUGUGACACACAAAUUCAUGAAGCAUUAUAUACUUUA